rnacentral:rRNA from 1 species
UACGUAGGGUGCGAGCGUUAAUCGGAAUUACUGGGCGUAAAGCGUGCGCAGGCGGGCUUUUAAGCCAGACGUGAAAUCCCCGGGCUUAACCUGGGAAUGGCGUUUGGGACUGGGAGUCUGGAGUGCGGCAGAGGAGACUGGAAUUCCUGGUGUAGCAGUGAAAUGCGUAGAUAUCAGGAGGAACACCGAUGGCGAAGGCAGGUCUCUGGGCUGACACUGACGCUCAUGCACGAAAGCGUGGGGAGCGAUCCGG